UACGAAGGGGGCUAGCGUUGCUCGGAAUCACUGGGCGUAAAGCGCACGUAGGCGGAUCUUUAAGUCAGGGGUGAAAUCCUGGAGCUCAACUCCAGAACUGCCUUUGAUACUGGGGAUCUCGAGUCCGGAAGAGGUGAGUGGAACUCCGAGUGUAGAGGUGAAAUUCGUAGAUAUUCGCAAGAACACCAGUGGCGAAGGCGGCUCACUGGCCCGGUACUGACGCUGAGGCACGAAAGCGUGGGGAGCAAACAGG
rnacentral:rRNA from 1 species